GGGGACCAUCCUCCAAGGCUAAAUACUCCUGACUGACCGAUAGUGAACCAGUACCGUGAGGGAAAGGCGAAAAGAACCCCGGCGAGGGGAGUGAAAAAGAACCUGAAACCGUGUACGUACAAGCAGUGGGAGCCCCACCACUAAGCCAGUGGUGAACUCCACAUCCGCAUCCUUUGCUGAGGAUACGGUUAACGGAGCGAAAGCGACGUUCAACCGCAAAACAAGCAGAGGGGGCUUAGUGGUGGGGUGACUGCGUACCUUUUGUAUAAUGGGUCAGCGACUUAUAUUCUGUAGCAAGGUUAACCGAAUAGGGGAGCCGGAGGGAAACCGAGUCUUAAUUGGGCGUUAAGUUGCAGGGUAUAGACCCGAAACCCGGUGAUCUAGCCAUGGGCAGGUUGAAGGUUGGGUAACACUAACUGGAGGACCGAACCGACUAAUGUUGAAAAAUUAGCGGAUGACCUGUGGCUGGGGGUGAAAGGCCAAUCAAACCGGGAGAUAGCUGGUUCUCCCCGAAAGCUAUUUAGGUAGCGCCUCGUGAAUUCAUCUCCGGGGGUAGAGCACUGUUUCGGCUAGGGGGCCAUCCCGGCUUACCAACCCGAUGCAAACUGCGAAUACCGGAGAAUGUUAUCACGGGAGACACACGGCGGGUGCUAACGUCCGUCGUGAAGAGGGAAACAACCCAGACCGCCAGCUAAGGUCCCAAAGUCAUGGUUAAGUGGGAAACGAUGUGGGAAGGCCCAGACAGCCAGGAUGUUGGCUUAGAAGCAGCCAUCAUUUAAAGAAAGCGUAAUAGCUCACUGGUCGAGUCGGCCUGCGCGGAAGAUGUAACGGGGCUAAACCAUGCACCGAAGCUGCGGCAGCGAACGUAUCACCCAAGACAACUUUACGGAGUUGACGAUUGACGGAGCGAAGCGACGUCAAAGCGUUCAUUAAAGUCGAGUUGGCUUAGGGAUACGUUCGUUGGGUAGGGGAGCGUUCUGUAAGCCUGUGAAGGUGUGUCGUGAGGCAUGCUGGAGGUAUCAGAAGUGCGAAUGCUGACAUAAGUAACGAUAAAGCGGGUGAAAAGCCCGCUCGCCGGAAGACCAAGGGUUCCUGUCCAACGUUAAUCGGGGCAGGGUGAGUCGACCCCUAAGGCGAGGCCGAAAGGCGUAGUCGAUGGGAAACGGGUUAAUAUUCCCGUACUUGGUGUUACUGCGAAGGGGGGACGGAGAAGGCUAUGUUGGCCGGGCGACGGUUGUCCCGGUUUAAGCGUGUAGGUGUGUGUUCCAGGUAAAUCCGGUUCACUUUAACACUGAGGCGUGACGACGAGGCACUACGGUGCUGAAGCAACAAAUGCCCUGCUUCCAGGAAAAGCCUCUAAGCAUCAGGUAACAC
rnacentral:rRNA from 1 species